rnacentral:lncRNA from 1 species
AUGAGUCUCCUAUAUAAGGGGGUCGGGGUGUGUUUCUUUACAUAUAUAUAAAUUGUUUCUUGUGAUGAGAUAUCAAAAUGAGAAAAAGUUUAUUUGUGUUCAUGUUGCUCCUUGUCCUUUUUGUUACAGACAUUUUACUUUAUUCCUAAUUCCUAUUUUAUGCUUUUUGCUCGUGUAAUGUUAUUGCUUUUUAUAUUCUUUUUGUUACAUGUUCAUAUAUGAAGAUUUUUCACAUACAUGUUGAUUCUUUAAGUUUUGUUUUUAGUAAUAAUUAUGGAAAGUACAUGAUUAAUGAUGGUUUUGGAUUUUCAAAGUGGAUAUAUAUUAUAGAAACAAUAUUCAUCACCUGUACAUGUAUGUUUUCUGGGUGAGGACACUUUAUUCAUUAUAUACAAUUAUCAUGAAUACAAAGGAUAAGUACAAGUGAUGUUUACAUUAAGAUGAGAAUGAAGAAUUAAUGUGAUUUUGAGAGAAUGAAUAAAUGUAGAUCUGUAUGGUUGACUGGUGAUGGAUUGUUUUGUUGCAGAUGAGACUUUGAUGACUUGGACAGAAGCAGGGAGAGAACCAAGGAAAUGUCAAGAAGUAGACACGAAAUAUCCUUGUCAGGAUGAUUUUACAUGUAAUCAGGACUGCAUAGAUUUACCUGGUGAUAGGAAUGUAACCGGAAAAUGUGAGAUAAGGGAUAAGGUUAAGCGAUGUGUCUGUAACUAUAUUUGUUAAUCUUGAGCAUAUGCUCAGUGAAGUUACUUAUAAUACUAUUCUAUGUACAUGUACACCGGUCACAUGACUUAAUUUCGUGUAUGCCAGCUGUCAUUUCUGAUGGUUUAUUACUUAUUUAAUAUCAAUAAAAUUGUUUGUGGGUUUUAGC